CAAGAAGGUUCUAACUGAGAGACAGUUAGCUCUCUCAGCCUUGAGACAAGAAAGUCUCUUAGUCUGACUAAGACUUGAUCCUGAGGAAAGACUAAUUUUUCUCUCUUGGUGACUGGACAUCAUUCCUGCCAUCAAUUCCCAACUGAAGUGACCAGCUGGAGAAGACAGUAGAAGAGGGAAGAAUGCCUUAAGGAAACCUCCUUGCUCCUGGGGAUUGACAUUGUGGGAUCAUUUGAAGACCUAUGAAAAGAAAAUUCUUACAUUUUCCAUGUGGGACUUGGGCAUCUGCAUCUAGUUGAAGACAUAGGAGAGAAGGUUCAGGCACUUUGUCCCAAGAGGGAAGAGACUGAUCGAGGAUUCCCAGGACCUGCCCCAUUAUGGUAAAUGAAGUGUGGAGAGAGAAGCCUAUUUUGGAUGAAUGUAAGCUCCUUAAGGGUAAGGACCAUCGAGAGACUUGGCCCAGUGCCUAGAACUUGGGAAACAGUUAUUAAAAAUGUGUUUCCUGCCUAGCUGCUGUCCGUCCUGUCUAAAAUGUAUGCCUCAUUCUGCACCUGCAGCCUGUCGCCUCCUUGCUCCAUCAUUAUUGCCCCAAAGUUACCUUUGGUGACUGCACUGAAGGAGCUCUCCAAAGAGAUACAUCAAAUAUAUAAAUCUCGGAGACAAAAAGUAAUAUGUCACUUGUGCCAAAUGUGCAAUACAAACUAAGUGUCACCGGAGGGAACAGAAAGGGUCAGCUAUUCCCAGGGCUUUGACUAAAUACAAUUUGUGCAUAUUUCCUGAAAGCUGAGAUGAAACUUCUUUUUCAGUGACAAAGUUUAAAUCUGCAGAGGGACUUGUCAGCAGCAGUGGCAGAUGUUUGGGGCCCUGCGCUAUGAAGAUGGAGAGUUAAUGACUACAGGUGGUUAUUAUACCAAAAUGACAAAAAAAAAAAUCCAUAAAAACCCUGAGUGUUUUCUGCUAGCUGUGCUGGCAUAUUUUCAAACACCAAGAAAGGUUGCUUUCAUAAAUUAUCUUUCGAGUUGAUUUCCUAUUGCUAUUUAUGCUAUGGAAAAGUCUUAAGGAACACUCACACCACCAUCGGUAUUUGGGCUUAUUGGGGAAAACAGGUAAGGAGCGUUGCUCAAUGGCAUUCGGGAAGUUUCUACCCUGGAGAUAGCAACUGUGAACCCUGGUCUCCCGACGGAUACGAAGCGGUCUCCGCAGAAACCCGAACAAAGUUCUGAGGUUACCCAGGGAGGAGAUGCUCCAGAAGAACUUGCUGGUGGAUCUAGUCCGCGAUUACCUCUAAGCUUCUCCACCUGAGACUGAAGGCGGGUAUCCAGAGCUGCCGCGGAGGCGUCUAGCCUCCGUAGAAGGCUAAAUGCGCACAGGUCACUCUGGAACAGAAAGUAGCAGUGAGGGAUCUGCCAUUCCCAGAGAAAGGUCCUGUGCAAACAGACCCCGCAUCAGGAGGAAGAAGCUUUAGUCCAGAGCCUCUUGCCGUCCAUGUGCCCUCAGACAAGUCUCUGAACUACUCAGAGAUCCGUUUUCUUUAUAUAGAAAAUGGAUGUGUUCUAAAGUCCCUUGCAGCUCCAAAUCCAUGAUUUUGUAUUGUUGUUCAGUUAUUUCAGUUAUAUCUGACUCUGUGACCCCAUUUGGGGUUUUCUUGGCAAAGACACUGAAGUGGUUUGCCAUUUCCUUCUCCGGCUCAUUUGACAGCUGAGGGAAAUGAGACAAACAGGGUUAAGUGACUUGUCCAUGGUCACACAGUUAGUAAGUGUGUGCCCACAUUUGAAUUCAAGUCUUCCUGAUUCCAGGCCCAACAUUCUGUCCACUGUGCUGCCUCACUGCCUCUGAUUCUGUAUUGGACAUAUAGCCAUACAUGUACUCCUAAAAUUCCAUGUACUUGAACUAAGUAGGAAUACCCAUAAAAAGGAAUAGAAGAGAGUCACAAUUGGGAUUAUAUUUAAAAGUGAAUCCUGACUCCCUCCUUUAAAUCCAGUUUAAUUUUUUAAAAUUUUAUUUAAUUAAGAGAAUUUUUCCAUGGUUAGAUGAUUCAUGUUCUUUCCCUCCUCUCCUCCUACCCCUCUUCUGUAGCCAAGGGGCAGUUCAGCUGGGUUUUACAUGUGUAAUUGAUCAAGAACUACUUCCAUAUUAUUGAUAUUUGCACUCAGGUGAUCAUUUAGAGUCUACAUCAACAAUCAUAUCCCCUCAACUCAUGUGAUCAAGUUGUUUUUCUUCUCCAUUUCUACUCCUACAGUUCUUCCUCUGAAUGUGGAUAGCAUUCUUUCUUGUAAGUCCCUCAGACUUGUCCUGUAUCAUUGCAUUGCUGCUAGUAGAGAAGUCCAUUACAUUUGAUUGUACCACACUGUGUCAGUCUCUGUGUACAAUGUUCUCCUGGUUCUGCUCCUUUCACUUUGCAUCAAUCCCUGGAGGUCAUUCCAGUUCACAUGGAAUUCCUCCAGUUCAUUAUUCCUUUUUGCACAAUAGUACACCAUCACUAAUAGAUACCACAAUUUGUUCAGCCAUUCCCCAAUUGAAGGGCAUCCCCUCAUUGUCCAAUUUUUUUUGCCACCACAAAUAGCAUGGCUAUGAAUAUUUUUGUAUAAAUCUUUUCCCUUAUUAUCUCUUUGGGGUAUAAACCCAGCAGUGCUAUGGCUGGAUCAAAGGGUAGGAAAUCUUUUAAAGCCCUUUGAGCAUAAUUCCAAAUUGUCAUUCAGAAUGGUUAGAUCAAUUCACAACUCCACCAGCAAUGCAUUAAUGUCCCUAUUUUGCAAUACCCCCUCCAACAUUCAUUGCUUUCCUUUGCUGUCAUUUUAGCCAAUCUUCUAGAUGUGAAUUGGUAUUUUGCAGUUCUUAUGAUUUUUAUUUUUCUAAUUACAAGAGACUUAGAAUACUUUUUCAUGUGCUUAUUGAUAGUUUUUAUUUCUUUAUCUGAAAAUUGCCUAGUCAUGUCCAUUGCCAAUUUAUCAAUUGGGGAAUAGCUUGAUUUUUUUAUACAAUUGAUUUAGCUCCUUAUAUAUUUGAGUAAUUAAAUGUUUGUCAGAGGUUUUUGUUAUAAAG